GACGAACGCUGGCGGCGUGCCUAAUACAUGCAAGUAGAACGCUGAAGAGAGGAGCUUGCUCUUCUUGGAUGAGUUGCGAACGGGCGAGUAACGCGUAGGUAACCUGCCUUGUAGCGGGGGAUAACUAUUGGAAACGAUAGCUAAUACCGCAUAACAAUGGAUGACACAUGUCAUUUAUUUGAAAGGGGCAAUUGCUCCACUACAAGAUGGACCUGCGUUGUAUUAGCUAGUAGGUGAGGUAACGGCUCACCUAGGCGACGAUACAUAGCCGACCUGAGAGGGUGAUCGGCCACACUGGGACUGAGACACGGCCCAGACUCCUACGGGAGGCAGCAGUAGGGAAUCUUCGGCAAUGGGGGCAACCCUGACCGAGCAACGCCGCGUGAGUGAAGAAGGUUUUCGGAUCGUAAAGCUCUGUUGUAAGUCAAGAACGAGUGUGAGAGUGGAAAGUUCACACUGUGACGGUAGCUUACCAGAAAGGGACGGCUAACUACGUG
rnacentral:rRNA from 1 species